UAAUUUAAAGUCUAGCCUGCCCAAUGAUUAUUAAUUGAAUGGCCGCGGUAUUUUGACCGUGCUAAGGUAGCAUAAUAAUUAGUUUUUUAAUUGAAAACUGGUAUGAAUGGCUGGACAAAGAAAAUUCUGUCUCAAAUUUAAUUUAAUUAGAAUUUUAUUUUUAAGUAAAAAAGCUUAAAUAAUUUUAAAAGACGAGAAGACCCUAUAGAGUUUUAUAUUAUUUUUUAUAAAUAAUUUAAGGAAUUAUAUAUUUUAUAUAUUAAAUAGUAUUUUGUUGGGGUGACAAAAAAAUUAAAUGAACUUUUUUUAUAUUUUAUCAUUGAUUAAUGAUUAAGUGAUCC
rnacentral:rRNA from 1 species